AGGACGAACGCUGGCGGCGUGCCUAACACAUGCAAGUGGAGCGACGAACCAGGCUUCGGCCUGGGGCAGAGCCGCGAACGGGUGAGUAACACGUGGGCAACCUGCCCCUCACACUGGGAUAACCUCGGGAAACCGGGGCUAAUACCGGAUACGACCUCGAGCGGCAUCUCUUGAGGUGGAAAGCUCCGACGGUGAGGGAUGGGCCCGCGGCCUAUCAGCUUGUUGGUGGGGUAAUGGCCUACCAAGGCGACGACGGGUA
rnacentral:rRNA from 1 species